GAUGAACGCUAGCUACAGGCUUAACACAUGCAAGUCGAGGGGCAGCACAAGGCAGCAAUGCUGAGGUGGCGACCGGCGCACGGGUGCGUAACGCGUAUCCAACCUUCCCGUUACUCUUGGAUAGCCUUCCGAAAGGGAGAUUAAUACAAGAUGGUGUUGAAAUUCCGCAUGUUAUUUCAACUAAAGAUUUAUCGGUAACGGAUGGGGAUGCGUGACAUUAGAUAGAUGGCGGGGUAACGGCCCACCAUGUCCACGAUGUCUAGGGGUUCUGAGAGGAAGGUCCCCCACACUGGAACUGAGACACGGUCCAGACUCCUACGGGAGGCAGCAUGGAGGAAUAUUGGUCAAUGGCCGGAAGGCUGAACCGGCCAAGUAGCGUGAAGGAUGAAGGUUCUAUGGAUUGUAAACUUCUUUUAUACGGGAAUAAAACCUCCCACGUGUGGGAGCUUGUAUGUACCGUAUGAAUAAGCAUCGGCUAACUCCGUGCCAGCCGCCGCCGUAACAC
rnacentral:rRNA from 1 species